UGGCAGACGGGUGAGUAACGCGUGGGAACGUGCCUUUUGGUUCGGAACAACUGAGGGAAACUUCAGCUAAUACCGGAUAAGCCCUUACGGGGAAAGAUUUAUCGCCAAAAGAUCGGCCCGCGUCUGAUUAGCUAGUUGGUGAGGUAAUGGCUCACCAAGGCGACGAUCAGUAGCUGGUCUGAGAGGAUGAUCAGCCACACUGGGACUGAGACACGGCCCAG
rnacentral:rRNA from 1 species